UGCAAGUCGAGGGGCAUCACGUGUAGCAAUACAUGGUGGCGACCGGCGGAAGGGUGCGUAACGCGUGAGCAACAUGCCCGUAUCAGGGGGAUAAACCAGGGAAACUUGGUCUAAUACCGCAUAAUAAGUUUCUAAGGCAUCUUAGGGAUUUUAAAGUUUUGGUGGAUACGGAUUGGCUCGCGUGACAUUAGCUAGAUGGUAAGGUAACGGCUUACCAUGGCAACGAUGUCUAGGGGUUCUGAGAGGAAGAUCCCCCACACUGGAACUGAGACACGGUCCAGACUCCUACGGGAGGCAGCAGUGAGGAAUAUUGGACAAUGGAUGGAAAUCUGAUCCAGCCAUGCCGCGUGCAGGAAGACAGCCCUAUGGGUUUUAAACUGCUUUUAUACGGGAGCAAUAAGGACUAUGCGUAGUUUGAUGAGAGUACCGUACGAAUAAGCACCGGCUAACUCCGUGCCAGCAGCCGCGGUAAUACGGAGGGUGCAAGCGUUAUCCGGAUUUAUUGGGUUUAAAGG
rnacentral:rRNA from 1 species